rnacentral:rRNA from 1 species
GGGGGAACUGAAACAUCUAAGUACCCCGAGGAAAAGAAAUCAACCGAGAUUCCCCCAGUAGCGGCGAGCGAACGGGGAGGAGCCCAGAGCCUGAAUCAGUGUGUGUGUUAGUGGAAGCGUCUGGAAAGGCGCGCGAUACAGGGUGACAGCCCCGUACACAAAAAUGCACAUGCUGUGAGCUCGAUGAGUAGGGCGGGACACGUGGUAUCCUGUCUGAAUAUGGGGGGACCAUCCUCCAAGGCUAAAUACUCCUGACUGACCGAUAGUGAACCAGUACCGUGAGGGAAAGGCGAAAAGAACCCCGGCGAGGGGAGUGAAAAAGAACCUGAAACCGUGUACGUACAAGCAGUGGGAGCCUCUUUAUGGGGUGACUGCGUACCUUUUGUAUAAUGGGUCAGCGACUUAUAUUCUGUAGCAAGGUUAACCGAAUAGGGGAGCCGAAGGGAAACCGAGUCUUAACUGGGCGUUAAGUUGCAGGGUAUAGACCCGAAACCCGGUGAUCUAGCCAUGGGCAGGUUGAAGGUUGGGUAACACUAACUGGAGGACCGAACCGACUAAUGUUGAAAAAUUAGCGGAUGACUUGUGGCUGGGGGUGAAAGGCCAAUCAAACCGGGAGAUAGCUGGUUCUCCCCGAAAGCUAUUUAGGUAGCGCCUCGUGAAUUCAUCUCCGGGGGUAGAGCACUGUUUCGGCAAGGGGGUCAUCCCGACUUACCAACCCGAUGCAAACUGCGAAUACCGGAGAAUGUUAUCACGGGAGACACACGGCGGGUGCUAACGUCCGUCGUGAAGAGGGAAACAACCCAGACCGCCAGCUAAGGUCCCAAAGUCAUGGUUAAGUGGGAAACGAUGUGGGAAGGCCCAGACAGCCAGGAUGUUGGCUUAGAAGCAGCCAUCAUUUAAAGAAAGCGUAAUAGCUCACUGGUCGAGUCGGCCUGCGCGGAAGAUGUAACGGGGCUAAACCAUG